AUUGAACGCUGGCGGCAGGCCUAACACAUGCAAGUCGAGCGGAGCGUCGGACGGGUGCGUAUUGCCUAGGCAUCUGCCUGGUAGUGGUGGAUAACGUCCGGAAACGGGCGCUAAUACCGCAUACUAUCAGAUUAGCCUUUGUCGUUGUCGCUAGUUGGUGGGGUAAAGGCCUACCAGGGCGACGAUCCGUAACUGGUCUGAGGGGAUGAUCGGUCACACUGGAACGGAGACAGGGUCCAGAUGCCUCCGGGAGGCAGCAGUGGGGAAUUUUUGAAAAGGGGCGAAAGCCUGAGACAGCACUGCCGCGUGUUUGAAGAAGGCCUUGGGAUUGUAAAGCACGUUAAGUGGGGAGGCGUUACCAGAAGAAAAAGCACCGGCUAACUUCGUGCCAGCAGCCGCGGUAAUAC
rnacentral:rRNA from 1 species